rnacentral:rRNA from 1 species
GACGAACCUUGCUAACGUUAUUCGGAAUUACUGGGCUUAAAGGGUGCGUAGGCGGUGCGGAAAGUUGGGUGUGAAAGCCCUCGGCUCAACCGAGGAAUUGCGCCCAAAACUGCCGCACUAGAGGAAGACAGAGGUACGCGGAACUCAGGGUGGAGCGGUGAAAUGCGUUGAUAUCCUAAGGAACACCGGUGGCGAAAGCGGCGUACUGGGUCUUAUCUGACGCUGAGGCACGAAAGCUAGGGGAGCGAACGGG